GGGGCUGUAGCUCAGUUGGGAGAGCAUCGGCUUGUCACGCCGAAGGUCGCGGGAUCGAGACCCGUCAGCCUCG
rnacentral:tRNA from 4 species